CACGAUAGUUGCUACGAAUGUUCCUCUCUGUGCUGCCAUUAGGUACCGUGCCAAAACGGAAGGGUGGGUAUUGGUCUUGAGGCCGCUGAAACUAUAGGCAGAGAGCAA
ensembl:miRNA Gm56352 predicted gene, 25837